rnacentral:rRNA from 1 species
GACGAACGCUGGCGGCGUGCCUAAUACAUGCAAGUCGAGCGGGCCUCCGGAGGUGCUUGCACCUCCGGAAGGCCAGCGGCGGACGGGUGAGUAACACGUGGGCAACCUGCCUUUGAGGCCGGGAUAACACCGGGAAACCGGUGCUAAUACCGGAUGCGUCCCCUCUCGCGCCUGCGAGAGGGGAGAAAGACGGUCUUUAAGGCCGUCGCUCAAAGAGGGGCCCGCGGCGCAUUAGCUGGUUGGUGGGGUAAGGGCCUACCAAGGCGACGAUGCGUUGCCGACCUGAGAGGGUGAUCGGCCACACCGGGACUGAGACACGGCCCAGACUCCUGCGGGAGGCAGCAGUAGGGAAUCAUCCGCAAUGGGCGAAAGCCUGACGGUGCAACGCCGCGUGAGUGAGGAAGGUUUUCGGAUCGUAAAGCUCUGUUGUGAGGGAAGAACAGCUUCCGGAGGAAAUGCCGGAGGUUUGCCGGUACCUCACCAGAAAGCCCCGGCUAACUACGUGCCGGCCGCCGCAGUAA